AUGGUCGGGUGUGACCUGCUAUCAUUCCUUGACGCCUACUCGAGGUACCACCAAAUCUUCAUGGCGAAAGAAGACGAAGAGAAGACAGUGUUCAUCACCCCAUGUGGCACGUAUUGCUUUUUACGGAUGCCUUUCGGGUUGAAGAGUGUUGGCUCGACGUUUGCAAGGGCGGUCCAGAUUGGUUUUGAGCCCCAGUUACAUAGAAAUAUGGAACCUUAUAUGGAUGACAUAGUGGUCAAAACCAAAGACAGGGCAACGCUUGUACAAGAUCUCGAAGAGAUGUUUGCGAAUCUGCGCAAGAUCAACCUCAAGUUGAACCCUGAGAAG
rnacentral:rRNA from 1 species